AGCAGCCGCGGUAAUUCCAGCUCCAAUAGCGUAUAUUAAAGUUGUUGCAGUUAAAAAGCUCGUAGUUGAAUUUCGGGAUUGACGUGAUGGUCGUGCCUUAAGGGGUAUGAACUGUUGCAGUCAAUUUCUCACCUUCUGGAGAAAUAUGAUGUCCUUAAUUGGGUGUCAUAUGGAACCAGAACUUUUACCUUGAAAAAAUUAGAGUGUUUAAAGCAGGCAUAUUGCUCGAAUACAUUAGCAUGGAAUAAUAAAAUAGGACGGCAUGGUUCUAUUUUGUUGGUUUCUAGGAUCACCGUAAUGAUUAAUAGGGAUAGUUGGGGGCAUUAGUAUUCAAUUGUCAGAGGUGAAAUUCUUGGAUUUAUUGAAGACUAACUACUGCGAAAGCAUUUGCCAAGGAUGUUUUCAUUAAUCAAGAACGAAAGUUAGGGGAUCGAAGACGAUCAGAUACCGUCGUAGUCUUAACCAUAAACUAUGCCGACUAGGAAUCAGACGAUGUUAAUUUUUUAAUGACUUCG
rnacentral:rRNA from 1 species